UUUCGGACUGAUAAUGUUCAAGCCUCUAUUAUUGGUUGGAUUUUGCUUCUUUUGUUUUGAGGUAGGCCUUGGGUGAAGCGGAUUUAGCUUGAUUCUCUUGUUCUCAAAAAGGAAAGAACAAGAAUUUGAGCGUCCGUAAAUAGUGACAUCCAGAUCAAAAAGCCAGGGUCGAUCCAAAAUUAUGUGUCCAACAUCCAUAGGAACCACAUCGCACCAAAUUUUGUCACUAUAGGAAAUGAUCUAAAUUGGGACAAGACAUCUUUAUUUUAUGAAAAUUGACGACGUGUCAACCCAAGAGACAUGGU
rnacentral:lncRNA from 1 species